rnacentral:rRNA from 1 species
AUUGAACGCUGGCGGCAGGCCUAACACAUGCAAGUCGAACGAGUGGCGGACGGGUGAGUAAUGUCUGGGAAACUGCCCGAUGGAGGGGGAUAACUACUGGAAACGGUAGCUAAUACCGCAUACCAUCGGAUUUGCCCAGAUGGGAUUAGCUAGUAGGUGGGGGAACGACUCACCUAGGCGACGAUCCCUAGCUGGUCUGAGAGUAUGACCAGCCACACGGGAACUGAGACACGGUCCAGAAUCCUACGUGAGGCAGCAGUGGGGAAUAUUGGACAAUGGGCGAAAGCCUGAUCCAGCCAUGCCGCGUGUGUGAAGAAGGUCUUCGGAUUGUAAAGCACUUGAAGUUGGGAGGCGUUACCAACAGAAUAAGCACCGGCUAACUUCGUGCCAGCAGCCGCGGUAAUUC